rnacentral:rRNA from 1 species
AGAGUUUGAUCCUGGCUCAGAUUGAACGCUGGCGGCAUGCCUUACACAUGCAAGUCGAACGGCAGCACGGGAGCUUGCUCCUGGUGGCGAGUGGCGAACGGGUGAGUAAUACAUCGGAACGUACCCUGAAGUGGGGGAUAACGUAGCGAAAGUUACGCUAAUACCGCAUAUUCUGUGAGCAGGAAAGAGGGGGGAUCGCAAGACCUCUUGCUUUAGGAGCGGCCGAUGUCGGAUUAGCUAGUUGGUGAGGUAAAGGCUCACCAAGGCGACGAUCCGUAGCGGGUCUGAGAGGAUGAUCCGCCACACUGGGACUGAGACACGGCCCAGACUCCUACGGGAGGCAGCAGUGGGGAAUUUUGGACAAUGGGCGCAAGCCUGAUCCAGCCAUGCCGCGUGAGUGAAGAAGGCCUUCGGGUUGUAAAGCUCUUUCGGUGGGGAAGAAAUUGCUUCGGUUAAUACCUGGAGUAGAUGACGGUACCCGCAUAAGAAGCACCGGCUAACUACGUG